CCCUUAGAUGUUCUGGGCCGCACGCGCGCUACACUGACGAAGUCAGCGAGCAUGUCCUACGCCGAUAGGUGCGGGGAAUCUUGUCAAACUUCGUCGUGAUGGGGAUUGAUUAUUGAAAUUCUUGAUCAUCAACGAGGAAUUCCUAGUAAGCGCAAGUCAGCAGCUUGCGUUGAUUACGUCCCUGCCCUUUGUACACACCGCCCGUCGCUACUACCGAUUGAAUGGUUUAGUGAGAUCUUCGGAUUGGCGCCACUGCGGCUCAGCAAUGGGCUCGGUGGAUGCCGAAAAGUUGAUCAAACUUGAUCAUUUAGAGGAAGUAAAAGUCGUAACA
rnacentral:rRNA from 1 species